UGUUAAAAAUUUUAUCCAUUUCUACUGCUAAAAAUUGGCAUAGUUGAUGGAAGAACCAGAUAGUUACACGUGGCGUGCCAGGUGCACCUCAUGUUGGCGUAUAUGGAAUGAUUUUUAACAAUAGAAAUGGAUGAAUUUUGAAGCA
rnacentral:pre_miRNA from 1 species